rnacentral:rRNA from 1 species
CCCUUAGACGUUCUGGGCCGCACGCGCGCUACACUGACCAGUGCAACAAGCAUCCGUCCUUGGCCGACAGGCCCGGGCAAUCUUUGAACGCUGGUCGUGAUGGGGAUAGACUUUUGCAAUUUUUGGUCUUCAACGAGGAAUUCCUAGUAAACGCAAGUCAUCAACUUGCAUUGAUUACGUCCCUGCCCUUUGUACACACCGCCCGUCGCUACUACCGAUUGAACGUUUUAGUGAGGUAUUUGGACUGGACCUUCGGAGGUUCGCGCCUCCGUUGCUGUUCGGGAAGACUCCCAAACUUGAGCGUUUAGAGGAAGUAAAANUCGUANCA